AUUGUACGCUGGCGGCAGGCCUAACACAUGCAAGUCGCGCGAGCGGCGGACGGGUGAGUAAUGUAUGGGGACUGCCCGAUCGAGGGGGAGAACUACUGGAAACGGUAGCUAAUACCGCAUACUAUCGGAUAACCCAUAUUGGAUAAGUUAGUAGGUGAGGUACUGGCUCACCUAGGCGACGGUCCCUAGCUGGUCUGAGAGGAUGAUCAGCCACACUGUGACUGAGACACGGCCCAGACUCCUACGGAGGCAGCAGUGGGGAAUAUUGCACAAUGGGCGCAAGCCUGAUGCAGCCAGGCCGCGUGUAUGAAGAAGGCCCUAGGGUUGUAAAGUACUUUCAGUCGGGAGGCGUUACCGACAGAAGAAGCACCGGCUAACUCCGUGCCAGCCGCCGCGGUAAUAC
rnacentral:rRNA from 1 species